CAGUCGCCGCGGGAAUACGGAGGGAGCUAGCGUUGUUCGGAAUCACUGGGCGUAAAGCGCACGUAGGCGGCUAUUCAAGUCAGGGGUGAAAGCCCGGGGCUCAACCCCGGAACUGCCUUUGAAACUAGAUAGCUUGAAUCUUGGAGAGGCGAGUGGAAUUCCGAGUGUAGAGGUGAAAUUCGUAGAUAUUCGGAAGAACACCAGUGGCGAAGGCGACUCGCUGGACAAGUAUUGACGCUGAGGUGCGAAAGCGUGGGGAGCAAACAGGAUUAGAUACCCCUGUAGUCCCUGUCUCUUAUAC
rnacentral:rRNA from 1 species